rnacentral:lncRNA from 1 species
GUCGUCCCUGGUGGGUAUCAGAGGGUUAGCAGGUCGUCCCAGUCAACCAAUCAGGGUCCAGAUAUAGAGGCCUGUUAUCAAGCAGGGAGAUCACUGAUGAUGGUCACCUCCCUUUGACUUCAUUUCAGACAUUUUCAAAGGCACAAUUUCUGCAAAGAGUUUGUUUGGUGUGUGUGUGUGAACGAGAUGUAGUACCCACUAGUAGAGAAACUGAGGAGACAGACAGAACUUGGAGAAAUGACCUUUACCAACUUGUCACGGUGACCAUUUGUGGUUGCUAUCUGUGCCUGAGGCCACCGACCAUCAAACACUUUUAUUGAGAUUUGCCAGCUUUCUUCCAGUCCAGUCUGGACAGUCUCUCUUUAGAGAGGCUUCCUUUAGUUAGUUAGACUGGGCUGUCUGUCCGCCUGUCUCAUCACAGCUUGUCGUCUCUGUCCAGCAGCGCCUGCAGUUCGUGCUGGAUGUCCUCGGGGAGCUCCAGGGCAGGCAGGUCAUCCAGAGAGAUGUCCUGGUGGGCAUCUCCAGAGGGGGAGGUUAGGUAUGGAGAUGUCCUUGUUCUCCCUCUCCUCUGACUGGGGAAGAACCCACAGCUCUGAUUUCUCCAGUAAGUCUGUGUCCGCGCAUCCCUCUUCAGCCGGAUGUUCUCCCCUCGCAGGCGCUUGUUGUCCUGGGUCAGUUUCUCGUUCUCUCCCAGCAGAAUGUCUAUGUGGCGCCGCAGCUGGCGAUGGUGUCUGCUGCUCCUCCAGACGGGUCUUUAUCCUUGUGGGCCUUGCUGCCGGGGCAGGGUGUGGGGGGAGGGGGGAGCCCUUGUUCUUCAGAGGUACAGCCAGGUGUCGUACUCCCUCUCUGGGUGGCGGGGGGGCUCGUUGGUCACGAGGCCGGGGCGGGUCGGUAGAGGGGUGGCUCAGGAGGACCAUGGGAUUGCCCUCCGUCUGGUCCUUCACUUCUCCUCAAUAAGCCGCUGCUGCUUCACUGGCUGUCUCUCUGGAGCGCCAUGACAAGCCAGCCUGGAGGAGACAGACAGGCCUCAGGCACGACUCGACACCUCACUACAACACCUCAUACGACUCAACACUACAACACCUCACUACGACUCUGCUUCACGUGGCUGUCUCUCUGGAGCGCCAUGGACAAGCCAGCCUGGAGGAGACAGACAGGCCUCAGGCACGACUCAACACCUCACCUCACUACACUCUCGCUUCACGUGGCUGUCUCUGGAACGCCAUGGACAAGCCAGCCUGGAGGAGACAGACAGGCCUCAGGCACGACUCGACACCUCACCUCACUACGACUCGACACCUCACCUCACUACGACUCGACACCUCACCUCACUACGACUCGACACCUCACCUCAAUACGACCGACCCCUCACUACGACUCGACACCUCACCCCACUCCGACUCGACACCACCUCACCUCACCUAACUCCGACUCGACACCCACUCACCUCGACCAUCACCGAAUGCACCACCUCACUCGAAAUGACUCGACCCCUCACUACGAAAUGACUCGACCACCUCACUACGAAAUGACUCGACCACCUCACACGAAAUGACUCGACCACCUCACUACGAAAUGACUCGACCACCUCACUACGAAAGACUCGACCACCUCACUACGAAUGACUCGACCACCUCACUACGAAAUGACUCGACCACCUCACAUACGAAAUGACUCGCGACCACCUCACUACGACUCGACCACCUCACUACGACUCGACCCUCCUACGACUCGACCACUCACUAUGACUGUAACAUGGUAUGCUAUUUCAAAUAACCAAAGACAGAACUAAAUAUUGACCAAUAUUGACAGACGUUUGGUCAAUAUUGACCAACAGCAGCCCAGGAGGACAUGACUGAGGUCCAAGAAUCUGACAUCCUCCAUCCCUCCCACAAUACAUGACACAACACCUACUGAACCCAGUCUCACCUGUUCACAUCUGUUAACUUCAUGGCUUCCCUCAGCAGCUCUGCAACACACACCACAACCACACACCAUUAAAUACUAGGCUGAUAUUAAACAUCUGUAUCUUGAGCAUAAUAUAGUAUGACUGCAUUCUAACAGCACACAGUCUUUCUGUGCAGAAUGACAUUCAGAUCACCCAGCUAGCUUCUACUGUCAGCUUCUUUAUUUGUGUUGCAACAAAGCAGACAACACUUCUCAUAAUGUUCUCACUAUCUCUAUGUCUUUAGUCUCGACCA